rnacentral:tRNA from 13 species
AAAAAGAAGAAAAAGAAAGACGUUCUUUCAUAAAAGAAUUCUUAAUUCCAAUUCCACAAAUAUCUUCUUCUUCUCCAUUUUCUUCUUCUUUUUCAUUUUCAUUUUCUUCUUUUUCUUCUCUCUUUUCUUUUUCAGAGGCGGGAUCUUGAAAAGGAAGAACAAUUUCUUUCCGAAAGGGAGCUUUCCACAAGAAAGAUUGUCUUACUUUUUUCUGAUGAAAAGAAAGAACUCCCUCUCCUGUUAAAAGAACGAGAAAGAGAAUUUGGAGCUUCAUUAUUAUUAUUGUUUU